rnacentral:lncRNA from 1 species
ACUAACCAAAAAAAACCUAAAUCGAAACAUAUCUUAGAAAUUAGGGGUUUUUUUGGUUAGUCUGUUGAAUAAAGUGGAUUCUUUGUACCCACAUGUUUUAUUCCUUGUUUAUUUCAUGGUUGAGCAUAGGGGGUAGGUCUAAAACUGUCAUUUCUCUGCGUUUUUGGAGAAUAAAAUGGGGAGUAGGACGAAAAAUGCAGCAAAAAUGAUACUUGAAGGACCGUUUUGUUCUGUUUUAAAAAGGCAGGAUCAGUUUCAUGAGUAGGCCAAAACACGAGGACCAAAAGUGUAAUUAAGCCAAUACUUUAUUGUGCAAAUGAUGAUAGUAAGGAUCGUCCUAAACGUUGAAUGAACAAUUUUCGAACAAACUAUGUAUAGGGUAUGUAAUGACGUUGUAAACCUCCCCCUGUAACGCCCUCUUUGAAUUAUUUAAUUAUUUAAAUGUGUCUAGAAUUUAUUAAGAUGGGUUUAGAAUAUAUUUAUAUGAUAUGUGUGAUUUAAGGUGAUUUAUAUGAUUUUUAUGAUCGAUGUAAUUUUAUGAGAUUUAAUGAGGAG